UACGGGGGGGGCAAGCGUUGUUCGGAAUUACUGGGCGUAAAGCGCGCGUAGGCGGCUUUGCAAGUCAGAGGUGAAAGCCUGGAGCUCAACUCCAGAACUGCCUUUGAAACUGCAUCGCUAGAAUCAUGGAGAGGUUAGUGGAAUUCCGAGUGUAGAGGUGAAAUUCGUAGAUAUUCGGAAGAACACCAGUGGCGAAGGCGACUAACUGGACAUGUAUUGACGCUGAGGUGCGAAAGCGUGGGGAGCAAACAGG
rnacentral:rRNA from 1 species